UACAGAGGGUGCGAGCGUUAAUCGGAAUUACUGGGCGUAAAGCGUGCGUAGACGGUUCUGUAAGUCGGAUGUGAAAUCCCCGGGCUCAACCUGGGAAUUGCAUUCGAGACUGCAAAGCUUGGGUGCGGAAGAGGGAAGCGGAAUUUCCGGUGUAGCGGUGAAAUGCGUAGAUAUCGGGGGGAACACCGGUGGCGAAGGCGGCCUGCUGGGCAGUGGCUGACGCUGAGGCGCGACAGCGUGGGGAGCAAACAGG
rnacentral:rRNA from 1 species